rnacentral:rRNA from 1 species
GAUGAACGCUGGCGGCGUGCUUAACACAUGCAAGUCGAACGGGAAACAUCUUAUUGAAGCUUCGGCAGAUUUAGCUUGUUUCUAGUGGCGGACGGGUGAGUAACGCGUGGGUAACCUGCCUUAUACUGGGGGAUAACAGUCAGAAAUGGCUGCUAAUACCGCAUAAGCGCACGGAGCCGCAUGGCUCAGUGUGAAAAACUCCGGUGGUAUAAGAUGGACCCGCGUUGGAUUAGCUAGUUGGCAGGGCAGCGGCCUACCAAGGCGACGAUCCAUAGCCGGCCUGAGAGGGUGAACGGCCACAUUGGGACUGAGACACGGCCCAGACUCCUACGGGAGGCAGCAGUGGGGAAUAUUGCACAAUGGGGGAAACCCUGAUGCAGCGACGCCGCGUGAAGGAAGAAGUAUCUCGGUAUGUAAACUUCUAUCAGCAGGGAAGAUAAUGACGGUACCUGACUAAGAAGCCCCGGCUAACUACGUGCCAGCCGCCGCGGUUA